rnacentral:rRNA from 1 species
AGGAUGCCGCGGUGAAUACGUUCCCGGGUCUUGUACACACCGCCCGUCACACCAUGGGAGCCAGGAAUGCCCGAAGUCUGUGGCCGAACCCCUUCUGGGGCGGGGCAGCCGAAGGCAGGCCGGGUGACUGGGGUGAAGUCGUAACAAGGUACC